AUUGAACGCUGGCGGCAGGCCUAACACAUGCAAGUCGAGCGGAUGAAGGGAGCUUGCUCCUGGAUUCAGCGGCGGACGGGUGAGUAAUGCCUAGGAAUCUGCCUGGUAGUGGGGGAUAACGUCCGGAAACGGGCGCUAAUACCGCAUACGUCCUGAGGGAGAAAGUGGGGGAUCUUCGGACCUCACGCUAUCAGAUGAGCCUAGGUCGGAUUAGCUAGUUGGUGGGGUAAAGGCCUACCAAGGCGACGAUCCGUAACUGGUCUGAGAGGAUGAUCAGUCACACUGGAACUGAGACAAGGUCCAGACUCCUACGGGAUGCAGCCGUGGGGAGUAUUGGACAAUGGGCGAAAGACUGAAACAGCCAUGAAGCGGGUGUGAAGAAGGUCUACGGAUUGUAAAGCACUUUAAGUUGGGAGGAAGGACAGUAAGUUAAUACCUUGCUGUGUUGACGUUACCAAAAGAAUAAGCACCGGCUAACUUCGUG
rnacentral:rRNA from 1 species